GGCUUGAUUCUUUGCAGCAACUACUGAUCCUGAGCUUUCCAAACAUGAAGCUCCUUCUGAAUGAAUGGUUAUGGUAGGAGCAUUGGUAGAACCUUUCUCAACCAAAAUCCUAUGGCUUACUUCCCGUUGAUGCAUAUCAAACCUAGGCGACAUAGGAGCGGUGGAUGAAGUGUCUUUGAAUCUAUCUGUAUCAUUCUAAAACAGAUGGAAAGUCAUUAGAAAAUCACUGAAGUACUUUUAACAAUAUUUGUUUCAUGGAAUAGCAAAUUCGUACACAAUGCAUGGUAAUCCUUAACUGGUUUUGUUUGCUUCUGAACAGAAUGAGUUUCCUUCUUUGUUUGAACUUAGACCAGUUUGAAUCACAUCACUUUGCAGAAGGCUUUUAUGUGAAUCUUAAGAAAAUAGAACAAUCCAGAAAUCAAGAAAAAAUGCUCAGCAGAUAAGGAAAAUGUAGAACAGGACUAUCUGUUCCUUUUGUUUUCAGCUUUCAGCUGGAAACUUCUCAUAAUCACUUUUACUGGUAAAGCAAAAUCAAACCUGAGACUUCAUGAUUGGGCUGCAAAGAUGAUGCAAUGUUACUACCAACAGUAGUAGCAUGU
rnacentral:misc_RNA from 1 species